CCUUGGGGUGUAUCUGGGAGAGUCUCCAUAGUUCUAGGUCCAAAUGCUGAGCCUCAUGCCCGGCCUGGCAUGACGUGACAGUCCUGAUUUCACCACAGGUUGCAUACAGCUAUGAGUGUUUUCCAGUGUCAUGGGCUCCAUGGCAGCAAUUGUGGUGGGAAAUGAUCCCAACAGGAAGAAGAGAGAACAUAAGGCAAACUGCCAUUUAUGACUCUGUGCAGCAUCAGCCCAAGUCUUGUCACUUCAAAUCACCACGGAUGCCCCCUCUCCAGUACGUGCACUGACUUCUUAUUCACGGUGCGUGUUCCCUAGUGCUUACUCUUGAGUAGCUGUGCAGAAUUUUCUCUUCUUUUGAUUAAACACCUGCUAUUCAAGAACAGAUGCCUAGGGUCAUGACUGUCUUGGAAGGAAAAAAUAUUGACCUCAAAAUCAUGCAAAGAAUAGCCUGUAGGAUGGGAAUGUCCCAGAGGUGUGGCUCUUGGUGUGUUGUAGGCCCGACUGAAUGGUCAUUUGCUCAUGUGAGUGGAGGUGGGCCCUGUGCAUUUAUUCAGUCAACAUUAAUGGUGCAACCAUGGAACCCCAGACACUGCUAGGCUGGAGGAUGAUGAAGAAGCAGUCACAGUUUCUUCAAGGAGUGUAUAGUCUCAGGGAAGAAACAACGAGAAAGCUGCAGUUAUACUGUCAUAUGACACUGUGACCGGGGGGCAAGCACAGGUUGUCUGUUUCAACCUCUACUCUGUCAAGCUUGCUUCCAAAAAGUAAUGCUGAGGCUCCUAGUGGGGAGUGGGAAUGAGGCGAGAGAUAGAUCCUUGUUUUCUUGGCUCUUUUUUUAGAGUUGAGAAGGGAGAGGAGAACUGAAUGUGUACAAGAACGUGCCAGGCAUGCGUUCUUUCUCUUUACUUUUUCAAUGAAAGCAGAAAGGAGAAGCAAAGUUUUUAUCGCCACCAGGGGUUGUAGCAGGAGGAACUGUCACCUAGGAGGGAGAGUCUGCAGCCCAGAGAGACCUCUGCUCAGCCAGUCUAGGCGAGAAGCCAAGAGCCUUGACACGGGCUCUGCUGCCUGGGGACGACGGAAGGCUGAAGAGCGCUGGCUGUUCAACAAGUUUGAAUGACAGUACCCCUUAAAGUGUAAAGAGAGGGUGAGUCCUUGUCUCGGAUGCCCUAAAAAGACAGGACUGGCCUUUCAAUGCUUAAGAUUGAAAGACAUUCUCCCCGUGAGACUGCAAUGCCUGGUGUUAUCUUACUAGGAGGAAGGGACUGUGCACAUCCCUCUGUAACAUGCUGGGAUUUACUCUUCAUCCUCAUCAAGCAUUAUAUCACAUGGAAUUUGAACAACCACAGAGCUGAGCUGUCAAGGAGGCACCAACUCUGUAGGUCAAUUGAUGAGGAGGCAGACAUGACAAGGACCGUAAAACAGAUGAGAAGCAAGUCCUUAGAAGCUGGUGGAGGCAUGGAGAAUGAGCAGUGGUCAUGGAUGUGUCCACUACAUCCAUGCAGAUGUUCUCAGCUACAUCCCGAGAACCAAGCCAGGUAUCGUCAGGUAGGGGUUGGUCUGGGCCCUCAUGGAAUGGGGUCAGAAGCAGGCCUGGGCAACUGGGGAGGUGAAUGGAAUUUCUCAACCUUUUGUGUCCUUACUUCCAUCGGCUUUAGGAAGAAUUCCAACUUUAGGUACACUUCAUGCAGUAGAUUUUUUGCAGUGGGUUCAAGGUUGGUUGUACACAGUGUUUAAAUGGGGAUGCUUGGGGUUUCCAGACUUGGUGGUCCGCUAUGGGAGUCAAGACCUCACCACUGUUUAUCCCGGGUUUUGAAAUAAGUUCCUUACUGUCUUCCUCUUCUUCAUUCUUGUCCCCUGAGCGCUCUUCUCUACGAUGUUGCCAGAGUGAUGUUUCAGGAGUGCAUAUUGACCAUGUUCCUCCCUGCUCAAAGCCUUCAGCAGCUUCUCAGUUUCUGUGGAAUCAAUUUCCUCCCAUGGGACCCUAACAUCUCCUUGACCUGACCUCCACCUGGGCUCCUAACUCCUGACCGGCUCCAUCCCUGUAGAGCACACACAUGACAUAUUGUGGCAGGAACCAGCUGCAGGCAGUAGCAUUCUGCUUCAAGCUCUUUCCCCUUUGCGUGCAUUUUUUUUUUGCUUGUAACACACACCCCUUCAUCCCUCUGCCCUCCUUUCCUGGGCACACUUUCCUAAGAAAACCUUCUCAUGCAUUUCAGAGCGGGGUAGACGCUGAUCUCCUGAGGUUCCUGCACGUAUCUCUGACUUGUGCUCACUUUAUUGCACUGUAUUUGCGCUUCUCUCUCUUACUCACCUGCAAACUCCUCCUGUCGUGUCUUAUCUAUAUUAGUAUCAGCCAGGGCUGAGCAUAUGCCGAGGACAUAGUUGGUGCUCUAAAAUAUUUUGUUGCAUGAAUGACUCAAAUGAUCCUUAACUGUCUCCUGAGUAACUAAUUUGAGAUAUCUGUUGGAAGCUGACUGGAGCCUGGAAGCAAUCGGUACCUUCAUUUAUUCACCCCUGACUUGGAAACGCAGCAAGCCACAGCCUGCCAGGCCGAGUGCACCUGAAAGCCUCAGGAAAUCUUGUCACUGUGCAUUUUGUUGUGUGACUUCAACUUGAGCUGAAUAGAGAGAAAUGAAUCCUGGCCAGCCCGAGCAUCGUGCCGGGAAUAGAACAGCGGGCCCACUGCAGUCGGCGAAGCGGAAGGUUCCCGUGGUGUCACGGGGGAGUGAUCGAACUGUAGCUGGACCUUAUGCCUCUUUGCCCCCUGCCCACUGCUCCGUGCCACUGAGUGGAGGGGCUGUGGGCUCUGUGUGUCCGCAGAGGAGAGCUGCAUGGCCCUUAUCUCUAAGCCUGUCCCGCGGAAGCUGCCAAGCCUUGAGUGACAGUGUCCAGCAGGACCCAGAACAUGAUCACGUGGGUGCCCAGUCAAUGUCAUCGGGUCUGGAGUGCCCCAGCCAGUGACGCAAGGAGAACUGAAGGAACCUCAGGUGGUCUUUACCUUCACACUCAUUAGGCCUAGAAAAGCCUCCUUGUCCCGCUGGCACCAUCUCUAGGUACCCUUCCUUUCCUUCCUUUAAACUGAGGCUGACCUCACUCAGUGAUCAGUCAAAGGCAUCGACCAAGUAAUAAGCUGUGCACCUGUUUAGGCGUGUGAUGUUAGAUUUGCCCCUGGAGGGGAGGGUGAAGGUCAACUACCAUGACCGUGGAGGUGGGAGAACUCAGCGCCACCCAUAUCUGCCUGCCUCUCCUGCUGCUGCUGCUAGAGGCUUUGCAAUCUCCUUUCCUGCUCAGUGUGAGGAUUUUUUUUUUUUUUUUUAUACCUUAGUACAAAUGAGAAUUUGUGUGGAAAUCCAAAACCUGCAAAAACGAAACGCUUGUUUGGAAUGUAAACCUAUGGGAAUGAAGAUGAUCUCACAGUCUGCAAUAAAAAGGUCAACUCUUGAUCUUGGAUGUUUCCCAGCUCAGCACAUUCAGGACGGCAGUGGAAAACCCAGAGUGCCAGCAGCCUCCACACUGUGAUUUAGGGAGGAGAGUGACGGAGAGUAUUUUUGUCAGAGGCACUGGCUCUCUGCUCAGCCUCAAUAUUUCAUAAAAAGCUCGUUGCGGCAAAUUUUUUCAUUUGGCAGCAUCUGCUGUGCUAUCAUCUUGAUUUCUUCACUUUAAGUAACACUGACACAAGAUCAAACGAAAGUCAAGUUGACAUGAUGACUAUUCAAUUAUCAACUUCUAUUAGUGCUACACAUUAUACACACACACACACACACACACACACACACAUAAAUAUAGUCAGCAGUGUUUGUAGGAAAAGGAAGUUAGCAAUCUUGGAAUCAUAGCACAAAUGAAAAGCUCAGAUUUUCAGAUAUGCAUCAGAUGGCAGGAAAUGAAUCAUUAGAAUGAAAUUGUACUUGAUUCUGACACUGUUUGCUCUUUGACAAGUCAUUCAGACUGUAGGCCUCAGUUUCUCCACCUUUCAGGAGAAUAAACCACAGCGCUGCCCUAGUCUAUACUGCCAUUCAUAUCUUAAGGGAUAGGUUUUCUGGAUACCAUUAGAAAGAACUUCUGAAAUGUUGCAAAGUAUUGAAACUUACUAGGGGGAAAAGGAGGCAAGGUUUUUGUUUGCUUGUUUGAUUUGGUUUUUUUUCUGAGCACUUAAAUAAUAGAAUAGGCAGCAGUUUCUUAAGUGAAUGGAUUUAAUGGAAUGGAAAUCACAAUGAGAUUUAUAAGGCUGAGAAAGGAGUCUGCAGCGUGCAGGCCUGGACUAAAAGAAGCUUGGUCUGUUUGCAUCUCCAGUGGCAAACAUCGGAUGCUGUGGCAACAAAGGGCCUUGACUGGAAACGUUUUAGAGGUUAUGAGAUUACGUGAAGCCUGUGUAACCUAGCGGACAGAGAGUAGGAUGUCAAAUACACGGCACCUUUCAUCAGUGGCUAAGCUGGAAAAGCCUGAGAGACAUCUACUUCUGUGCAGUUCUGAAAAGUUAGGUAUUCUAUUUGAGGGUAAUGUAGGCAUUUGUUUCUGGAAUUCUGCCCAGUAACCCAGAACACACCAAAAUGUCUUCAGGUAAUUCGAUCAGUGUUCUUGUAAAAGAACCCCAAAGCCACAGAUUCUGUUACUGGCAAGACUGAAAAUGCAUUAUAAGGGAAGACAACGUGUUUCAUGGGAUGGUGGCUUGGCCGGGAGAGGGCUCAGGAGAGUUAACUGAUAGCAAUUAGGAGCGAUGAUUAAUGCUAACCCGAACUUCUGGGAAUCUUGCAGAAAUGUGCUCCUCAGGGUGUUUUGGUGUUUACAACUUUGCUUUUUGUUUUGCGUCCACCGCCUGCUGCAGUUUUGGUCAAGGGCCUUGUUAGUCUCCAUUGGCCCCUUGGGGCAUUGAUAUAAAAGGACAUCCUUAGAACGCUUUUUCCCCAACAUGGUCAUCUCACACACUGUCCACAGUAGUACUUCCAGAGGUAGAGUCAGCUUCCUGGCAUUGCUGUUGUGGGAUAGUCACAGAAAAUGCGGCCAUAAUCCUUCUUCAUAAACUGGUCCAUUAUUUAGCUUCCUGGAUGUGAUAUUGGCACCCACGGUGAAAGUGAUGGGCCGAUGCCUAUGUGUCCAUGGGCCUUACCCUCUUUGACCUGGGGAUGGGGCGAGCAUAAGGGCUGAGGGAUACUAAAAGCAGGUUCUAAAUAACCUUCUGUGGGCCCUUUUGUCUGCACUGGUCAUAUUGGGGCACACUGGGGAAGCGUCGCUGGAGAUGUGGGGAGCAGUUUUCUGCUUGGCUGAUUCCAAUCGAGUAGACAGGGUCACUCUUAGUUCUAACUUCUCAUGUUGAACAGGACUAAUUAGGUUGGGUGGGCAAUGAGGGCUUUGGGGAGGGAACAGGAGACAUCUCUUGGAUAUCCAGAGUCAGGGUGACAUUCUGUAGUUCAGGAACUGGCAGACUAUGACUCAUGAGCCACGUGUGUCCUGCUGCCUGUUUUUUUAAAUAAAGUUGAUGGAACACAGUCGUGGUCAUUUAUUUACAUGUUGCCUGUGGGUGUUUUUGCACAAAAAUGGCAGAGUUGAAUAGCUGAAAUAAAGACUGUGAAACUUGUAAAGCCUAAAAUACUUGCUAUUUGGUUCAAUCCAGAAAAAACACUUGCUUAAGUCUGCUGUAGUUCUUUGUAGGUUAUCUGCUCUUUGGUGUCCUAUAAUUGCUAAAAUGGGUUUAGGUAUGAGUUCUUUUUUUGUGCUUUGGGUUUGCUGUACUUUAAGCAAUUCUUAGCCAUAAACUCUUUGGAAAUUGUCUCUCCCCAUCUCUGCUCUUGAAAAUCUAAUUAGAUUUAUGUUAGAAUCGCUCAUUAUUUUUUUUGUUUAUCUUGCCUCUUUCAUAUUUUCCAUCUCUUAGGGUCUUCAUGCUGUAUUCUGGAUAAUUCUCCAUAUCUCUGAUUCACUAACUCCUCAGUUGUGUCUAAUCAGCUCUUAAAGCCAUCACUGGAUUUUUAAUUUCAUUAUUACUUUUUUUUUUAAGAUUUAGAAAUCCUGUUUGCUUCUUUUUUAAACAUGCCUGGACAUCUUAUUCAUAUUUUAUAUCUCCUUUUUUACUUCUUUAAACAUAUCAAGCAUACUUAGUUUAAAUUCUCUGCUGCUAAUUCAAGUGUAUGAAGAUGCUGUAGGUCUGAUUCUGCUGCUCACUCCUCAUUGGCCUAGAGGGUGCUUGCCUACUUGUGAGUUUUGUGCUUGCUUCUAAUGUUGAGCUUGGGUAUCUUGGAUCUUUUCUGUGGAAAUGCUUCAAGCAUUUUUAUUCGUUGUUCAGAGUGUAAAGCGUACCAUACUGCCAGAGAGUUUUUCUAAGCCAUGUAAUCCACUCCAGAUAUACUAGAGAUUUCCAAAUGUUGCAGGUUGUGAAGCACUUGCCUGGACCAUUAAUAAAACGAAUUCUUUGAAUGCUAAACUGUCUUCCAUUUCCUGGCCUCUGUUCUUGCUUUGAUUUGAUCCCUGAAGAGAGGAAAGUGAAUCUUCAAUUCUCACUGGAAUCCACAGUGAAAUGAUAAAAGCUAAGAAACCUUUCAUAUCUUGAAGUCCCAUUUGCUUGUUUUCCAGAUCUGCCUUGUCAUAAUUCUACUUUUGUGAAAAUUAUCCUGCUCUGCAAAGCAAAUGACACUUGGUAUACUGCCUUCAAUUUCACCUUGUUCAUCAAAUCUACAACUUACUAAGUGGUUCCUAACAUAUCAGUUCUUUGACCUCAAUGAGAUGUCUACUCUGUUUAUCAGUCUACUUUCAAAUAUUUCCUAUUUUUCUCAUCCAGAUCACAUUUUAUAAUUUAAGACUUCAAACAUUAAUUCCCUAAGCUGACUUGCCACAUCCUCUUUCUGUUGUUAUUUGGUGAAACCCCAGUCUUGAAUGAAAUUAAAUGCCCAUUUCCCCUGUGUCUGUACUUGAACUAAUGAGAAAUCCUGAAGAAAUAUCAUGAUUUUCACUUUGGUAAUGAUUGACUAGAUUAUUUGGACUAUUUUCUCCUGCUGAAAAUAUUUUAAAAUGUUUAUAUUUAUAGUACCUCAUUUAUAUGAUAUAUGAUAUAUGAUAUAAUAUUUAAAGUACCUCAUUUAAAACAUUGAAGAAUUUUUAAGAUAUUAAGGAAUUACCAGGCUGAAAUUUAAGAUCAACUAGAAACUCAAAGAAGUAACUUGAACACUGAAGCCACUUGGCCCAGAAGCAGUUUCUAACACUGGAAAAAUUUCACUUGUUUUUGGCAGCUUUAUCGGGUCAGGGAUCAUAAUUUCAGGCCCAGGGCCAAUGUAAGUGGGGGAAUCUAAUAACAGAUUCUCCUCACAUUAAGCCAUAAUCACAAAAGGUUAGACUCUCAGGGUAAAUCAGAAAGAAACUGCCAGAAAAGUUGUUUUGGAACUAUGCAUAGAAGAGAAAAAAAGGAAAGAAAAACUACUUUUUGAAAAGUUGCGGCCACAGGCCAAACUGUAUGCAGAUUUUCAGGCUAAGUUCAUAUAUCCUGAAGGGUGUUUAGGGAAACCUCAAGUUAAAAAUGUGAUUUAAGGUGGUUCUAGACUGUAAUGCCCUUGGUUUCCAGGCAGAAGUAAAUUCAAGUCUCUUUGGAGGUAGGUAACUUGAUGCUAAGCUUCAAGGAAUCCCCACAAAAAUUUUUUUUUCCAGGAAAAAUUAAAAGUAUAUAGUCAAAAAUAAAAUCAAUCACAUUAAGCAACAGAAUUGGAGAAGGAAAUGGCAACCCGCUCUAGUAUUCUUGCCUGGAGAAUUCCAUGGACUGAGGAGCCUGGUAGGCUACAGUCCAUGGGGUUGGAAAGAGUAGGAUAUGACUGAGCAACUUAAUGAAAGCAACAGAAUAUUAUCAAGAGGAAAAAUUAGGAAUAGCAUAUUGAAGAAACAGGUCUACAAAUACAUCAUAGUUUGGAUUCAUUGGACACAAAUCAUAAACACUUUUGUGUACUCUAUAAAAUAAGUGGCAAACACAGGAAAUUCUAAAAUUUAGCCUAACAGAUGAAAAAGGGCCAAGUAAAACUUCUAGAAAUGAAAACCAAAAUGUAACCCCAAUUAAACUCAAGGUCUGGAUUUAACAGUAAAUUAUCCACAGACUUAAUCAGAAGGUGAAUAGAAAUAUAGAUGAGAAAAAAUAUACAGAAUAAAUGAUAAAGAGACAAGAGUAUAAAAAUAAGGUUAAACGUCAUAGAGGGAAGUAUAUCAUUUAAUUGAAGAGAGAGUAGGGGCAGAGGUGAUACUUGAAGAACUGAUGACUGAGAAUUUUGCAGAACUGAUGAAAUAUACCAAUCCAAAGAUCAAAAAAAAAAAAAAACUAAUAAAAAUCUUAAGCAGAGUAAAUAUGACUUCAUACCUAGAUAUUUUACAAUAAAACUGCAUAGCACCAAAAAAGAAUAUUCAAAGCAGCCAGAGAAAAAUGUUAGAAUACUUUAAAAGGAGCUACAUUUGACUGUUGACUUCUCAAUCCCAGCAAUGAAAGCCAGAAGUCAGUGGAAUGAUGUCUCCAAAGGGAUGAAAGAAAAUACAUGCCAAGUUAGAGUUCUAUAUCCUGAGAAAAAUCUUUAAAAAAUAAAGGUUAAAUCAGAUUAUUUUCAGGCAAAUAAAAGUAAGGUGUGUUUGUGCCAGUGUACUGUCACUGAAGGAAAUUCUAAUGGAAGGUGAGCCCGAAUGGAAGGCCUAACGUGAAAGAAGGAAUGGGGAGGAAAGGAGAUCAUAAAUCUGUAAAUAUACAUCAACACUUACUAUAUAAAGUGAUAAUAAUGUAUUAUAGAGGAAAAUACAGUGUUAAAAUACAUGAUAAUAAUGACAUAAUGGUAGGUGAGUAAACAGUGAAAGCCUUUCUGUCUGGUAGGCUAAAGAUAUUGAUUAACUUUAGAAACAUUUGUGUAAUCUUAAAAUGUAUUUAAUGUGUGUUUCUGUAUGUAUGUUAUAUUUCACAGCAAAGUAAAACAAAGUUAAUCCACUGAUUUGGUCCACUAUAAGCUGAUGGUCUUUAACUUUCGCCAACAAUAUUCCAAUGCUUCCGGGCCAAUCCCACAUGGCUUCCUGCCGUGUCCCUCACAUCCUCUGUAGGAAUGCUUUCAGACAUUCUCCAGUCUCUCCCAUCUCCUGCUCUUCCCUGGCUCCCAACCUUUCUCCUCUUCUUCAGCAUAUAACCUCACCUCCUAAUUCAGAGUAUAUAGCAACCAUAAGACGAGAGUGCCCUCCACUUUCUGCUGCAAAUACUCAUUUCCUCAGCAUCAGGAUCAAUCCCUUGUUAAUUUUCUCCUGUUAAAAGGAGAAAUUUCACAGGUUUUCCAGCCUAAGACUAUUUCUUUAUUUCUUCUCAGGGGUUGUGUUCUCUUUACCCCAUCUCCCAUCUAUAUACAGCGUCCCUCUCUUUAAUGGACCCUUAUUGUUCAUAUUUAAACUUGCUCAAAUUUAAAUACCAUCUAUCUUAAAACACAUACACACCCAACAUCUUUGAUUCCAAAUUUCCCUUCUACAUAAUCCUAUUUUUUUCCCCUCAUAGCCAGCAUUUCUGAAAGCAUUGCUUCUACUCUCUGUCCCUGUUUCCUCACUUUGUACUCAAUUUGAUUAAAAUAGCAACUUUCAAACAUUUUGAUCUCAGGAUGUUUUUAGACUCUUGAAAAUCAUUGAAUUAUUGAGAAGAGUGCAAACAGCUCUUGUUUAGGUAGUUAGCUACAAGGUAUUGCCUAUUCUUAGACACUUAACUUUUCUCUGUAGAUGGAUAAAUACACUGUCCUCUUUAUUUUUGCCUAAAUAUCACCAGAGCAGAAUUUAUGUCCUGUUAAUCUUGGAAUCUGUUAACUGACUCAGGACUUGGUACUCUUUUUGGUUAUUAUUAAUUCUGUCUGGCUAUGUCCCUGAUUUCUCUAAUUCUUUGUUGGUGAAUGUGAAAGAGUUAGUAUUUCAGCUGCAUUUCAAGUUUUUUUUUUUUUUUUUUAGGUACUUUGCAUAGAUUUUAAACAAAAUGAAAAAAAAAAAAAAACCAGUUUAUGAAACAGGAGUGUUAAACCAAUUCACCCCACUCCUUGGAAUACAUGAGAAAGACUGAAAACAAAAAAAGACGCAGUUUCACACUCCAGCUGAAGUCUGUCCUAUAUCUGAGAAAAUUGCCUCAGGUGUCCACAAUGGAACUUCUGCUUGAGAUUCUAAUAUGCUAAAGAUGACUUCUCAGGAGAUGAUAUUUCUCUGAAAAGUGACUGAGAAAAAGCUUUGUCAACAGCAGAUUAAAAUAAAACUGAGAUAAAAUAUUAUUUUCCCAUUCAAAUGUAGUGGUUCUAUUUCAUCUUCAGGAAAAGAAAGAGGUGUAUAUAAGGAUGUCCAGGAAUUAAGUAGAGUUGAUCAGGUAACCACACUAGCUAAAAGCUAAACGUGGUGUGCUGUAAGAUAAUUUGCCCCCCUUGCCUCUACCAAAGGGAGGGUUUCUUUUUUUUUUGUAACUGUAAUAUCUCAAAGCCCUUAAAAGGAUUUAUAACACAAAAAUGACUUUCAGUAAAUUGCAUUAUAUGUGUGGAUAGCGCUGUAGCCAGAUUCUUGCAUCAUUUCACACAUUAUAUUUGGGCUAUAGCUGGGUAAGCUUCUACCAGCCCUGAGACAUGUGGGGUGUGUGUGUGUGUGUGGUCUUUUACAGCAGGGUGGAAGGCAGUUGGGGUUGGGGAGCAGGUAGGAACAGAGCUGGGAAGAAGUGUAUCUGAAUGGUCCUUGCACAUUAAGUGUCCAGGACAUCUUGGGGGACGAUGAGCCACACUGAAUUUAGAUGCUAUAAAUGGGAUGGUAUAAAACAGGAUGGAAUGUAGAUGGUGUUAGUUGUUUUGAUAAAUGAAAUUUGGUGCUUAAUAGCAGCCAAGAGCUUGCCUGCUUUGAAAAAAUAAAUUAAAAGGAUGAUUUCAUUCUUCAUGAGUAUUCCUAGUGCACAAACCACCCCCCCAAAAAAGAAUUUGUUUCCUGUCUGAAAUCCAGCGUUAAAUCUGAAAUAUGGUCUGAGGCGAAGAGAACCAGUUUCCCUGCAAAGCCUUAAGCUGCCCCUUUGUGCUCGCCAGCUCUCAUUGAGCACACGGGUUGCCCUGGUGAUGAAUGGCCUGCUUUGUGCGGUCUCAGCACUUUUUUUCUGGAGAGGCUGUUUUAAUGAGAAGGUGAAUGGAGGGGCUUCUUUUGAAAGCAGGACGAAAGGAGGGCCACUUCUGAAACUGCGGGCAUAAUGGUGCCAUUCCUUAUCGCAGAUCUGACAGUGCCAGGAGCCUGCUCGCCCCCCUCUCACUCGCUCGUUCUCCGCUCCUGACUAACUACUGUUUUGGAUUGGCCUCUGGCCUCGGUCUCCUGGAAUCUUCUUUUGGAAGUCAAGGGUUUACCCCCGCGCUAAAAACGAUGCUCCAGCCUGUUUGAACACCAUUUCUGCAUCCAUUCUGCAGGCCAGGAGUGGGAGGAAACCGUGUAAUUGCGGUAUUUCAGGACCUGCCUGGGGCUAGCUGGAACUGAACACACACAGUGGACUCUUGAUUAUCCAUGCUAAUAGAGGCAAUGGAUUUAGAACAGUGCUGAGUGUAUCUCAUCAGUUCAGUCGCUCAGUCGUGUCCGACUCUUUGCGACCCCAUGGACUGCAGCAUGCCAGGCCUCCCUGUCCAUCACCACCAACUCCUGGAGUUUACUCAGACUCAUGUCCAUUGAGUCAGUGAUGCCAUCCAACCAUCUUAUAGUUAAUAAUAUGCUCUUAAUAAAGUUUGUGCACCAAAUAAAUGAAAAACCUUACAUUUCCUUUCUUUUUAUAUUCUUACUGCUUUCCUAGAAUAUACAUAACAUAGUCAUUCUUAUUAUUAAAAUAGCUAAUUCUUGGUUUCUUACCUCUUUUGUUUGUAUGCAGUCGACUGCCUAAGUCCUUGUAAAUUCUCAAUAGAGUAUAGAGUGAUGGUAGGAUGUUUUUCAUGGACAGUCUCGUUGAAGUUGAGCUAUUUUUUGCUUUGUUGAUUUUUCAGGCCAAGUUUUUAUCAUCCUUACAGAGACAGCUUUUCUUUGGCGAUAGUGGCGAAGCAGUAGGCUGCUCAAGGGCCAUUUCUAUCACCGGACCUCAUCUGUCACGGUGUGUUCGUGUGAUAAACCUUUCCCUGCACAGAGCAAUAGGAAUCUCACCCCAGCUACGCCCACUCCAGCCUAUUUCCUUAAUAAACAGAAGUAAGCCAAAGAGCUUCCAGCCUUGUGCUGUUUUAGCUGAGAAGAAACCAGAAAGAGGUCAGGAUGGAAUGGAACUCCCUUUCCUUUGUGACCUCCUCAAAGGAAGAUGAGAGAGCAGUGUGUGAUUUCUGAUUCCACCCAAAGAGGUGCGACUCGGCUUAGAGUUAAAACUCCCCAAAUGCCUAUGAUGUGCUAGGGAAGUGAGUUAAAUGUUUGGCCUGGGAGCCGAUCCAGGGUUGAGUACCGGUUCUCCUGCUGACCAGCUUUACGAAUGGAGCAGUUUAUUCUUAGGUCCUCUAGACUCUGGCUUCUUCCUGUUUAAGAUGGUGAUAACGAUAGCAUCUGUUUCAUUGGGAGAAUUACAUUUUUAAAAGUCUGCAAAGGGCUUACCUUCAUAUCUGGAGCAGGCACAAUUGUUGACUCUAACAAGCGCUCCUGGAACACCUACUAUGUGCCAAGAACCAUGCCACAGAACUAUGGCAUGCUCUGUAAUUUAAUCCCUAUGUCAGCCCGUUAUUCCCAAUGAGAAAACCGAGGCUCAUAGAAGUUAAAGAGCAUGCUUCACCUUGCACAGUCAUCGGAGUGCUGGGCAUUUGGACCCAUCUCUCUCUCAGUAUUGUGGCCUCCUCAAAGCUUCAGUGCCCAAAUAACUGAAUCCAUUACACAGCCAUGUCCCUGGUAGUAAACCCUUCCCCCUAGGUGAUUGGGGGGAUAAAAUGCAGGUGCAUUUAUCAAAGCAGAGAUGUGUUUAACCCCCUGGACACCUCGCCUCCUCCAUGUUCUUUGGAGGAUGUGCUCGGGCCUCCACCCCAGGGCUUGGCAGGGCUCAGGGGACUCAAUGCCUCCUGAGAGAUGCUUCCUCUGACCACACUCUCUGAGAUUGUUAUUCUUCCACACCACAGCUGCCUCCAAGGCAGUAUCAGAAUCAGGAAAUCACAGGUGUAUUUGUUUGAGUCCUUGCCGGCUACUCCCACUGCUGGAGAGGAGUCCAUGGCAGAGAGUUUGGCUUUGUUCAAGCUGUAUCUGCAGCAGAUAUGUCUCAGACAUGGGAGGGUCACAGUAGAUAUGCGACCCCUUUGCAAAUGAAGAGCCCUGACUCUUGAGAAAAGCCUGCAGUCCUGUGGCCAGCGUUGUGUUGGAGGAACCACACAGCCAGGCUUCCAGUAAUAGAGAAAAGGAGUGUGUGAGGAGUGAAAGUUGCCUGAAUUCUCUGCUUGCACGUCCCCUUCAAGCCCUUUUGAUGUCAGGAGAGAGUUGUCCUCAUUCUUUUGCAGGGAGGCAGGCCUCGGGGUGCAGCCCCUGGCUAAAUAUGUCCUAGCUCAGUGUCUGCUCCAUCCUCAUUAACUCCACUGCGUAGCUGGCCAUGGGGCAAGAUUCAUUUAGUGACCGAGCUUAAUAAAUAGAUGCUUCUGGUCUUAUAUUUCAGGCAUCACUCUCAGAGGCUAAGAGCUCAUUGAAGUGCUCCUUUCAAGAUGUCAAGGGCAAGCAGCUGGGCUUGGGGGAAGUGCAGAGAUAAUUCUGCUGAGCCUUUGUUUCCCAGCCCGUCUGGCAAUCACCAGCACUGCGGCAACGACAGGAAAAGCCUUCAACGCCCACUUCCUUGCCACACAAGAGCCGCAUUUCUGAACUGGGUCAGCCGGGUGAGGCGUGGCCACCUGUAUGGACCUCCAGGCACGUGAAGCCACUCUUGCCGAAGACGUUUGGUUGGAGAAUUUUGGUUUUGUGGCCGUGUACACGUUCUGUCAUUGCAUGGCCUGUGAUGCAGAGAGCUUAUCUCUUCCCCCUGAAAAGCCUUGGCAGAGAGCUUUCAUUUUGGAGGAAGCUUAUUUCCGGGCAACCAUCUCCAGGGAAAAUGAGUGUGAGGCAGUAGGCAGUAAACAACAUCGUAUCCUAUAGGAACGGAGGUGACCCGAAUGAGCUCCGGAGCGAGUCCGUGAUAGCGGCAGAAUCAUUACAGUGUGUGUGCCUGCCCAAGUCCAUGUGUAAUUGUAAUGUAUAAUUGAUACAGAGCUAAAAUUAAACUCCUGGGUGAAAGAGACGGGCAGGCUGAGGAGGCUGAGGAAUAUCAACCUCUAAGAUACAGCCUGUUUAUGACAAAUGUAGGAUUGGAUUGCUCUUCAUUUCAGAGGGCAUGUGCCUGUGUUUUGGGUUGGUCUGUGCUAAUAUUUCAGCCUUGAGGAAUAAGGAUUGCACAGUUAUCCUCUUCCCAUUCCUUCCAACCCCAGGAAGAAACUCUGUUUCAUUUAACCUUGUCCUCAGGCCACUGAAAUACUUUGGUUUUUCCAGAUAAUUUCCCUCAAGUGACGGAACUCACAAGCAAACAGAGACAGGACACACUCACCCCUUUCCUGGUGCCACUCCUUGGCACGCUCUUGACCCUGACUUUGCCGUGAGUCUCUGCAGGCGUGCCACCUGAGGAGACUUCCAGCUCUCGCUCGUGAAUACAGCUCACAGUGCCCUCCACCAUUCUUUGGACCUUGAAGAGAGGUGACCACUGGUUGCAGUUGUGCCCUUGAUGGUUAAUGAAAGUUUGAUUCUGGGAGCAGCUGUUUUUUUGAAACAACUCUCAGGGUAACUAAGCUUACUUCUACUUUUCAAACCCAGACUUCACGUUAGCCUCUGCAUUCUAUUUGUGCUAAAUGUGCAUUACUGAAGAAUUUAGAGAGAAGACAGUUUUUACUUCUCUUCUUUCCUAGUUGAUUGUUUGAAACUCACUGACAGGCUUGAGCUGAACCAUCUUCUGGCUCUGAAUUCCCACUUCAGUGUUGUCCACACGCGGACCCCCUGUUCCUGCUUUUAGCUGGAUGCACUACCGUUGUCUACCAGAGGUUAUAGUGACACAAAUUCCGCAGCCUGUUUCCACUCCUAGACCCUGUUAUCCCCUGUUUGGGCAAAAUUUAAUAAUUUCUCACUCCUGGUUUAAAAGAAGUUUUCUACUGAAGCCCCAGAGCAUUUUUUAACGUGAUAUAGUACAUACUAGACACAGCGUCAUAGCAUCUUAUUCCUAAAAUUCCAAUGAGAUGAGAAAGAGAGACAGAGACAGGGAUAUAUCAUUUGAUCCAAAGUAACUGUCUUCUGUAACAUCAGCAGCAAGUAUUGGCCAGUGAUUUUCACCCUCUCUUGUCUGUGUUCCGCCUUUGUCACUGUGAUACUGAGCGAGCUAUUAAACAACUCUGACCCUAAGGCUCCUUAAAUAGGACGACGGAAGCAAAGUUUAGUCCUCACUGGGUGUUGGGUUAGCACAGAACCCAACACAGACGAAAAUCUUCAAUUUACUUUCUCUUUUAUUCCUUUCAUUGACUAGGAAAACCAACACUGAACAUGUAAAAAAAGAAGUAUCCUGAAAUUGAUCAGAGCAUAUAUUUAACUGGCUGGAAAAUCCAUUUGACAAAAUUGCUUUGAAUCUCUCAUCAAAUUUCAUGGUGUUGAAUUACUAAUUUUGACAAUAGAAAUCUUCCCAUAUUUUAAUUAAAACAAAUGUUCUAUAAAGGGUCAAAGAUCUUUUUGGAGACUUUCGUAUAAUGAUAAUAAAAAAACAAAGUACCAAUAAUAGUAUCACCAAGCCUAUCACUGGCUAAGUAUUGUUAUUAUACUUCUCAGCUUACUUAUUAAAUUUAGAAAAUUAAGUGAUAAAUCAUGGGCCCAGAGUAUCUAUAUAAGUAGGCUUAGGACAACAAUCAGAUUGGAAGGAAAAACUAGAGUUCCUUUUGAUGUUAUGUUUGCAUAGCAUGCCCACUGUUUUUAUCCAGAUUGCAUACUUACUGGGGAUAACUUUGAAGCUCAUGAAGAUUUGGGGCCACUCCUGAAGCUGCAAACUCAAUUUUAUUGCUUAACCAUUGUGUUUAUUGGGAUAAACAGUUUCAGUGUAUUGGUAGAGACAGAGGUGGGACUGCAAUUCAUUUUAGCCACCACUUAGAUAAAUUCUGUCCACGAUAUAUUUAAGGUUUCUGUUUUAAGUUGAAUUUGUUUAAAAUAUAGUGUGAAGAUUAGACAUGUGAAGAAUUCAAACGUUGCCAACUUCACUCGCCACUAAUUCCUAGACUUGGAAUGAUUUUUCUCUUUGCAGAAACAAGGUGCUUGAAAAAGUGGUUGAGAAUUGCAAAUGUGAGAUCAGAGUUAUGCACGUGCUGUGAUUUCUUUCCUAAGAUACAGUGUGUUUGCAGGAACUGUGAUGUUGCUCACUUUAAGUUUGGAUGCCUCAGUAAUCCAAGGGUAGUAAAGAGACAGGAAUACUAUAGUCUCUUUUUUAUGAAAUGUACUUUUGGCAUUUCAAAGGGUCAGAGGAUAAGGUUAGAUCUUGCAGUUAGGUGGGAUGCUAGUAAAAUUUGUCUUAAGGUCACUUUGUCUCCCAAACUUCUUCGUCUGGUUACCCUCAGUGACUGAAACUCCAAGAUUUCUGACAUCUUUGGGUAAAAAUCACUAAAAUAAAAAUGUAAUCUUGGAGAAGUUGUGAUGUCUACACUCAUUUUGCAAAUCCAGAUUUAUGCUACUUGUCUAUAUGUGACCCUCCUGAGAGCUACAUCCAUGUUUAAUUUUAUGGAAUAAGCAAUGAAGCUUGGUAUAGGCAAGGAUGACUGAAUGCAGAGGCUAUACUCCAAUACUUGUAAUAUUGUUAUUGAUUUUGCUCAUUUAGUCAACUGAUAAUAUUAAUUGAUGAAUUAAUACUUUCUAUAAAAGUGGAAGAUCUAAAUACCAACACUAGAGUAUAAUUUGUACUUUUUACACUAAACAUCAACUUCUAUAACUUUUAUUGGUCAAUACUUCUUUUUGAUUUAUAAGCUAAGAUAGUUAUUCACCAUUAGCCUCACAUUUUAGAAUAAGAAGCCUCCUGAGACAUUUAUACAGAAAGGUGUCACAAUUUAGAAUUUAUCACAGUCUAUUAGCAGAUCUCAAAAGCAACUUAGUAACUUAUUGGUCCUUUUAGCUGAAGGAGCCAUAAUGCUUCUAAGAACACACUGUGUCAAGACUUCUGUUUUCUUAUACCUGUUUUUCCUUGUGGUAAGCAAAGAACAGAGGAAGAAAUGAAAUAUUAUGACCAUAACAUGCUAACAGUCACAAAGCAAGUAUAUUAACUUACAGUUGGAGAUUAUCCUUCACGUGUAAUUUUCUCGCCCAGAUUCCUAACCAUUGAAUUUAGGGUCAAUAUGUGAACAUAUUAAGUAUACUUUGCAGUCCAUCACUAUUAAUUUCUGAAGCUUUCCACUCAUUCCCAAAACCCUUUUAGAUGUUAGCUUUCUGUCUGGGUUUGAUGAGGCCUAGUAAACAGUGCUGCUCCUUACCAUCUAAGUCAGAACUGAAAGAGAGACAGAUAGAGACAGAGAGACAGAAGUCAGACAGAUAGAGAGACAGAGAGAUGAAUAUCAAAGAAUCAGGUUUGUUUGCCGAUGCCAGAAAGACAGCAGUCACACAUGCUUGGCUGAUGCUGAAUUAGAGAUUAUGAAACCAUCAGGGGUGGAGAGGGGCAAACCCAGUUCUCCUUUAAAUAGGGUUUGCUGUAGAUCAUCUGGCUGAGGGAAAGAGGGGCAAAGAAGGUCUGAACUGGGCAUGCUUACUUCCUUCUUAAAGAGUCACCAAUCAGGUGAGUUAUUCUAGGAGGACGACCUAGCAGGAGGUAGAGAGUGACCAGGGUUUCUGCUUUAGGGAAUUCCCGGCACUUUUAUUGGAAUGAGGAUAUGAUUUACAGUAAUAAAAUUUUAUCAUUUAGCAUUUUUUAUUUGUAAGACAAUGAAAACUGACUUGGUAGCUUAAGCCAAUAAAAGAGAAAUUAAAGAGAUGAAUUCUGGAGAGAUGGCUCAUGUUACUAAGAGGAUGAGCACUCAGUUGCUGAGACGUGCAGAAACCAGGGCAGCUCAGAGAAUGUUGGCAGGACACGGGCAGCCUCUUUAACUCCGGCAGGGCCAUCCAAAUGAUUCGGCUAGGACUUCCUCUACCUCUGUGCAUUUCUCUUCAAAAUUCAAAUUCUUGAGGGUUUUCGAGCCUCUGUGGCUUUAUUGUUGUUAUUGUUUAGUCUCUAAGUUGUGUCCAUCUCCUUUGUAACCCCGUGAACUGUAGCCCGCCAGGCUCUU